rnacentral:rRNA from 1 species
AUACGUAGGUGGCAAGCGUUGUCCGGAAUUAUUGGGCGUAAAGCGCAUGUAGGCGGUUUGGUAAGUCGGUCGUGAAAAUGCGGUGCUUAACGCCGUAUGGCGAUUGAAACUGCUGAACUUGAGUGCAGGAGAGGAAAGGGGAACUCCCAGUGUAGCGGUGAAAUGCGUAGAUAUUGGGAAGAACACCGGUGGCGAAGGCGCCUUUCUGGACUGUGUCUGACGCUCAGAUGCGAAAGCCAGGGUAGCGAACGGGAUUAGAUACCCCGGUAGUCCUGGCCGUAAACGAUGGGUACUAGGUGUGGGAGGUAUCGACUCCUUCCGUGCCGGAGUUAACGCAAUAAGUCCCCCGCCUGGGGAGUACGGCCGCAAGGCUUAAACUCAAAGGAAUUGACGGGG